GAGGUUCAUAUGAGUUUUGGUCUU
rnacentral:siRNA from 1 species